CCCUAGAAACACCAAAAACCUCACUAGCAUUCUCCCUGAUGCACCUAGCCACCCUAUCCCACAUACUAUCCACGUCCCCCCUACAUUCCCACACCUCCAUUCCCGCCAACUUCUCCCCUAUCUCCCACACAUUCACUGGCGUCAAGCCGCACCACUUAAUUCUAGGUCUACACUCCUCACCCCUUCUCUUUCUAUCCUUCUUUAUACCCAAAUCCAUAACCAAGAGCCUAUGUUGGGUCGAAAGAUUCUCACUCGAGAUGACCUUACAGUCCUUACACAACGCCCUAUCCCCUUUCCUAAGCAACAAAAAGUCAAUCUGGGUCUUGACUAUUGCGCUUCGGAAGGUGAUCAGGUGAUCGUCCUUCUUCGGAAAGUCCGAGUUCACCACCACCAGCCCAAAGGACCUCGCAAAAUUCAAUAGAGUAGCCCUCUCUUCAUUUCUUUCCCCAAAACCAAAACCACCAUGCACAUCACCAAAGCCUCCCGGUAACACCCCGAUGUGCCCAUUGAAAUCUCCUGUUACAACAAUUUUCUCCGAGCUAGGCA
rnacentral:lncRNA from 1 species